rnacentral:lncRNA from 1 species
ACUUUUAAGAUGUUGAAAUGCCUUCCCACCUGUAUGUAGGUGGUUAUUUAAGAGAAUCAUAUCUCUACACACGUGAAUUACAUUUGUAUUUGUAGCUCAAGCUAUAGUACAAAUGAUGAUAGAUACUCUUUACGCCAAAAUAAUAACAAUAAUUAAAUUGAAGAUAGAGAUGGAAUAGACUGAAUAAAAAAUUUGAGUCUGUAAUUUAAAAAUUUAAAAAUUUAAAGUCUAUGUAUGAUAUAUUGAUCUAUUAAUCUAUUUAAAAAUUUAUUUUAUUUAAAUAUUUAUGAAUAAGUAAUUCAACUAAUGUGAAAUACAUUCAUAAAGUAUAGAUCAAUGAAGUUGAUAUUUGUUUUUAUUGACUUAUUCGAGUUUACCUAUUAAUAUAUGUUUUGUGGUAUUAUUUGUUUGAAAGAAUUUAUAAAAAUAACUAAUGCCAACAAUUUAUAACAUUCUUCAUAAGGUUUUUUUAACUUAUUUUCACAAGUUCUUUAAGAUGAUUAAGUUUUAUUUUCAAAUUUUAAUUUAAAGUACAAAAUAUAAUGCAAUAAUAAUAAAUUUAUGCAUGUUUAUUGAAACAUGAUCACGAGCAUUGCACGAACGAUAACACUUUUACCCAGUCUACACAAACAAAAUAUCUUCACUCACAAUUCUAGUUAAUUCGAAUAAAAGCUUAGAGAGGGAGAGGGUGGAGUUUUAGGUAUUAGAAAACUAGGUAUCUAAAA